rnacentral:tRNA from 1 species
AGUAGUGAAGUAAAAAUUACACUUAGCUUCGACCUAAGCAUUAGAGUUAAAUCUCCUUACUU